UACGUAGGGGGCAAGCGUUGUCCGGAAUCAUUGGGCGUAAAGCGCGCGUAGGUGGCCUCAUAAGUCCGCUGUGAAAGUCAAAGGCUCAACCUUUGAAAGCCGGUGGAUACUGUGGGGCUAGAGUACGGAAGAGGCGAGUGGAAUUCCUGGUGUAGCGGUGGAAUGCGCAGAUAUCAGGAGGAACACCAAUAGCGAAGGCAGCUCGCUGGGACGUUACUGACACUGAGGCGCGAAAGCGUGGGUAGCAAACAGG
rnacentral:rRNA from 1 species